rnacentral:rRNA from 1 species
UUAGUACCGAAGUACCCGAUGUCACACUGUCAAGAAAAUUUCCUAGUUAGAAUAUCACUGCCCGUACCGCAAACCGACACAGGUAGUCGAGGAGAGAAUCCUAAGGUGAGCGAGAGAACUUUCGUUAAGGAACUCGGCAAAAUGACCCCGUAACUUAGGGAUAAGGGGUGCUGACCUCUGGUCAGCCGCAGUGAAUAGGCCCAGGCGACUGUUUAUCAAAAACACAGGUCUCUGCUAACUCGAAAGAGGAUGUAUAGGGGCUGACACCUGCCCGGUGCUGGAAGGUUAAGUGGACGCGUUAGCCGCAAGGCGAAGCGCUGAAAUGAAGCCCCAGUAAACGGCGGCCGUAACUAUAACGGUCCUAAGGUAGCGAAAUUCCUUGUCGGGUAAGUUCCGACCUGCACGAAUGGCGUAACGACUUCCCAGCUGUCUCAACCGCGAACUCGGCGAAAUUGCACUACGAGUAAAGAUGCUCGUUACGCGCGGCAGGACGAAAAGACCCCGGGACCUUCACUAUAGCUUGGUAUUGGUGUUCGAUUCGGUUUGUGUAGGAUAGGUGGGAGACUGUGAUCACAUGGCGCUAGUUGUGUGUGAGUCGUUGUUGAAAUACCACUCUGAUCGGAUUGGAUACCUUCAACCUUGGCCCAUGAUCUGGGUCGGGGACAGUGCCUGGUGGGUAGUUUAACUGGGGCGGUUGCCUCCUAAAGAGUAACGGAGGCGCCCAAAGGUUCCCUCAGCUUGGUUGGUAAUCAGGUGUUGAGUGUAAGUGCACAAGGGAGCUUGACUGUGAGAGUGACAACUCGAGCAGGGACGAAAGUCGGG